rnacentral:misc_RNA from 1 species
ACAAACUUGGUCAUUUAGAGGAAGUAAAAGUCGUAACAAGGUCUCCGUAGGUGAACCUGCGGAGGGAUCAUUACAGAGUGUAAAAACUCCCUAAACCCACUGUGAACUUAUUCUUUUCUUCCUUUCGCAGGCGGUUCCUGGGAGGGACCUGUGGCUGGCUCGCGCCGGUGCCUGCGAGGGGGAUUUCAAACUCUUUGCUGUUCAAAUACAGUUGUCUGAGCUUUUAUAAAUAAGAAUCAAAACUUUCAACAACGGAUCUCUUGGUUCUGGCAUCGAUGAAGAACGCAGC